AAAGCCAAAAAUCAGGGCAAGGCACUCUCUCUAGCUGCUUCAGCCGCAUCGUCAUAUACAAUCUUCUGCAGUUUUAGUACCCAAUGUGCAAUUCACUUUUACCAACAAGGUGUAUGAAAUCUAUACGGAUGCCAUCUACGCUCCUUGCCGUCUAAAACCUACCUAGUCAAAGGCGAGAGCUGGAAAUCAAGAGGUUCAUUUUCUUCCGUUCAAUCCAACUGAUAAGCUCACAGCUAUAACAUAUCUUGACAGUGAAGGCAAAAUGCAUCGACUCAGUAAAGGUGCCCCUGAACAGGAAGUUCCUGAAGGAAGAAAGGAGUCUCGAGGAGAUCCGUGGCAAUUUAUUGGUCUCAUGCCUCUUUUUGAUCCACCACGGCAUGUGAUAGUGCAGCGACAAUUAGAAGGGCCUUAAAUCUUGGCGUGAAUGUGAAAAUGAUCACUGCGGAUGCGAGAAAGAUGUCAGAAAUCUGCUCGGGGUCAAGAUUGGACUUCUAUACUUUAUUUGGACUGGGUGGUGGCAGCCAUGUUCUCAUCUUCACAUUUGUAAUAUAGAGAUCUGUUGGAAUCUUUUGGGACAUUAAGUGAUCAACUAGCGAUUGGAAAGGAGACAAGACGCCGUUUAGGAAUGGGAAAUAAUAUAUAUCCUGCUGCUUCUUUACUAGGCCAGGAUAAGGAUGAGUCUACUGCAACUUUGCCUGUUGAUGAGCUGAUUGAAAAAGCAGAUGGUUUCGCUGGUGUUUUUCCUGUUGCAGGAACUAGCUAGUAAGAAGAGCAAUUACCCAUCAUCGAGAGCUACGGCCAAUAGAGCAUCCUCUCGUAAAGGUUGUUAAGUUGAAGAAACAAGAAAGAAAUGGAUAAUAAGCUAGCAAAGUUGGAUAGACGACUGGAAUAAAAAUUUCGAAGGAUGUUUGCUGCUCGUGCAACUCUUCUGGAGGAGCCCAGAAAGCAUCCAGAUUGAUUGAGACAUGAAUGAUUAUUUUUUCUCUCUUGUAAAUCAUAUUGAUAUGUUUGAG